UACGUAGGGUGCAAGCGUUAAUCGGAAUUACUGGGCGUAAAGCGUGCGCAGGCGGCUUUGCAAGACAGAUGUGAAAUCCCCGGGCUUAACCUGGGAACUGCAUUUGUGACUGCAUGGCUAGAGUGCGGCAGAGGGGGGUGGAAUUCCACGUGUAGCAGUGAAAUGCGCAGAUAUCGGGAAGAACACCUGUGGCGAAGGCGGCUCUCUGGGACGGUACUGACGCUGAGACGCGAAAGCGUGGGGAGCAAACAGG
rnacentral:rRNA from 1 species